rnacentral:lncRNA from 1 species
GAAAUUUGCCUUGCAUUGCCUGGUGAGUGGCAUUCUUCCAUCGUCCUGGUUGCUAUGACGAUGAAGGAAACUCGUUUGUUCCGGGUCACUCCUAAAUUUGCACAUGAAAGCAUUAGAGAUUACUGCUGUCUAAUCAAGUUAUAUGGAAAAGUUUAAAGGGAGGUACAAUGUUUUACAGCCAGCAACCCUCCACAGAAUAAAACACAAUAGCUGAGAAAAAGGAUUAUCUCCUGCUUUUAAAAACAUACGAAGAAAGUUCAAAAUGGUGUGAAAGCUUUUUUAGCCAAACAUUGUGAUUUUUUAAUGCUAUUUUCUAAAUGAGGAAUGUAGAAUCACAUUUCUAAUGGAGAAUUAGUAUAUGUGUUGCCCAACUCCAGGGCUACAUUCAGCGUAAUGAAUUAGGCGUGUGCUGUGCAUACAUUAAAAGCUUUUACUUUUGAACUCCAGAUUCCUAAGUGUCAUGGUCCUAAUUAUUGUCACAUCACUGCUGAAAUGCAAAAAACUUGUUACUUUGAGUAUGAAUUACAUCUCCAAAGAAGUCAGGAAUGGUGGUGAAUAUAAGUGGGAAGCCCCGGGAGAAGCCCACUUGUUGCUGCAGAGGGGAAGCAUUCUGCAGUGCCCUGGGAAAUACCAGCUGCACCCGGAGGCUUCAGUUCUUUGCUGUUGCCCAGCCAACACCUGAGGGAUCACAAACGAACCUGGGAGUAAGUAAUUAAAAUUCAAAGCUUUAACAUUCAGAUACUUUUACGCUUUCUUUUGCUUCCAACUUGCAAGAAAUUUUCCAG